GGCCGGCAAAAUCCUAUCCCAACCUCCUCGUGGUGUCGGCUGGAAUGUGCAAUCCUUUGUACAUACAGAUUGGGAGGG
rnacentral:ribozyme from 1 species